rnacentral:rRNA from 1 species
GCAACUCGCCUACGUGAAGGAGGAAUCGCUAGUAAUCGCAGGUCAGCAUACUGCGGUGAAUACGUUCCCGGGCCUUGUACACACCGCCCGUCACACCAUGGAAGUUGGCCACGCCCGAAGCCGUUACUCCAACCCUUGUGGAGGAGGACGUCGAAGGUGGGGCUGAUGACUGGGGUGAAGUCGUAACAAGGUAGCCGUACCGGAAGGUGCGGCUGGAUCACCUCCUAA